rnacentral:lncRNA from 1 species
AUGAUGUUCAGCUGGCACAAGACAUUCACCGUUGGAGCUCUGUGGAGAAGAGGCAAGAAGAGCCCUCCCUCUGAGGACAAAGUCGUGCUGACUCACAUGAAGAUGCUAAGCUAUGCAGGGAGUCAGGAUCUGGAGCCUCCUGCAGCUUCAGAUUGUGCAGAAGAAUCCAGGCUUCCCCAAGUCAACAUCCAGGGAAACCUUGAUGUAACAGACACUCCAGCAAAUUCAGAUUACACAGCUACCCUGUCUGAUCUCAGCACCUUGGAGACCCAGUGCCGGCUUCACAGAUUCUCCAAAUUUGAAUCUGAGGACUCUGGGGUUGAGUUGCCAAGUGGGGCUAAUUCUCCAUCCACACCAAAGGGCUCUGAGAAGAGUUUUGUGCUUCACAGUAGAGACUCUUCUUGUGACUCUGGAGUGCUCAGUGCCUCUUCCUCUCCAGAAAUUGACCACAUUAUAAUGAGAGCAUGUCAAGACCCUGGAGAAGCUAAUCCCAACAGGAAUGCUCCAGAGAGCAAAAAUCAAGUGGAGCAGUACAGCCAGGUGAUAGACUCUAUGCAGAUUCCUGCAUCUUCCUUGGAAGAUUUCAGCAAUUGUCAGAAGGGAGAAAGUCCUGAUCAACUUUUUGGCCAAAGCAAAGGGCAGUCUUUAGAAGAGGAACCCAGCAAAGAGACAGACCUCCCCAUUCAUGAUACUCCUCCAACUGUGCCUCCCAUGGAAGAGCAAAAGACUACCACUAGCCAUUACAAAGAGACCUUUGGCAGCAUGCAGGAUCUUCAAAUUCAUGGAAAUCAACUUAAGAAAUAUCCCACGAGUGACAGUCUGGACGAGUACAUGGAUGAGUGCUGUCGAUUAAGUGAGGUGAAUCAAGGGAACACCAAGGUGCUUGGCUCUGGCCUCGGGUAUCUGGAACACAUCUGUCAGCUCAUCGAGAAAAUUGGACAACUACAGGAGCACAACCUCCGGCUCCAAAAACAAGUGUGCAGCUUGCAGAAAGAGCAGAAGAUGUACCAGAUAAAGGAGGUAUCAAUCGCUGUUGUCUGACAUAGACAGACCUAAAGCCAAGUGCCAUCUCAUGUCAACAUGGCAGAGGAUGAGAACUGUCGUUCAUGGCAAUGGCAAGAAAGUAGAAUCAUCAUUCGACUCUAAUCUGCAUACUACACACGCAGAAAAUGCUGAUGAAGAAUCAUUCCUGCAGUCAAGAGAACUUGAAGCUGCAAAAGUCACAUCUUCUGGCACCCAGUCAAACAGGAUUGGUCCAUUUCUGGACUCAUUUGUGGAUGAGCCAUGAUUGAAUAAAGAUGUAAAUAUUAUGAAAUACUGGGAGACU